AAAAGGCGUGUGUGUUUUGCGAAUCCAGGUCUAUUUCUUUGCAAUGUUUUUGUUUUCAUUUUGAUUUGUGGUUGUGGAAUGAUGUGACUUAGCCAAAUCAGAUAUUGAUGUGCUCCAUUUAAUGUUGAAGCGCAUUUCUCUGUUGAUUCAAUUUGAGAUUGGUUUUCUUUUUUCCUGACCACAACCACCACAACAACAACAACCUUUUUUCUUUUACCAUUCUCUGCUUUUAACUUAAUCAUUUUCUGGAUUUUGGAUUUUGGAUUUUUUGUUAUUUACUCUGUCCUUUUUGUUAUUAACUUAACCAUGACCAAGUCUUAGGUUGUCCAUUAGUUGAGUUCGGUGGAACUAUGAGGUGAAGCUGUGAUAGUUCAUAAAAUGUUUGUUGUAAUACUAAGUUGUACCCACUUUGAAAUGCUUUAAUGUGUGUACUAAAAACAAACUUUUGCAGGUUUGUGGUAAAGAUUCUAUUAGGAGUUUCAUUGUGUUACCUAAGUCAUGAGUUCUCUCACCUAAUAGAUUAAUCUCUUGGGUUGGACUCUCCUUAUGAGCUUUAGAUCCUAACAAUUGGUGUCUUUCAUUGAGAGUUGUGUCACGGAAAAGACUAUAUAUAGGCUGGAUUAAGGUAUAUAACUGAAUAAUACUGAUAGGUGAGUGAAGCCGUCAAAAAGGGGAAAGGUAUGUCAUCAAGUCAGUGUCAAUGGACGUCGACGCCUAAAGGGGAUGACAAUGUUAUGUGUCUUACAUCGAGUAGAAUAGCAAACUCAAUGUGGUAUUUAAGUCAUGAGACUCUCAUCAUGUACUUGAAGUUCUAACAUAUUCAUGAGGUAAGUGAAAUUUGUGAGAAAUUGAAAUUGUUCUUUAUUGGCAUUGAGUUCUUUUCGGGUAAUCCAUACCCAACAUCAAAUAUUUGUUAGAUUGUUUGUUAAACUAGAUUGUGUUUUAUUGCUUGUGAUGAAUGCCUGUUUGUGAUGAAUGCCCAGAACAGGAAUGAGGUUCGAUUGUUAUUGGACAUGAGAAGAGUGAAGUCUCACUUACGUUGAACAAAAUAAGUAAGAUAUUAUAUCUUGAACCAAAUCUAAGACAAUGUUCUGCCAACAUUUUCAUUUGCAGGCUCUUUUACUUGUCUCGUUAUAGUCAAUGUGGAGUUUCACACUUGAAUAAACUCGACACUAACAUUGGCUGAAUCACAUGGCAUGAUGCCAAAGGUGCUUAUGUAUAAAAUGACAUUGUUGGAUUAUUACUUCACUUUUAUGUAUGGAUAUGAACCACUUGUAAAUAGAAAAAACUGAAAAUAGUAUGUGAAGAUUUAGUUUAUGAAUAUUAAGCUAAGGAUAAGAGGAGUGUUACUACUUACUUACUAGUGAUUCUAUUGAUUCAGCUUUGACUUAUGCUUCUAUUGUAACAAUGGCAACUUUAAAGUGAUGAUUCUGAAUAUAUGGAAGAAACUGUUUCAUCUUCUAGUUUCCCAUGUCAUUUUCCAAUCUUCUUCACUUGCCAAACACAUUGUUUUGAAUGUUUCUGGUUUCAUGAUCUAGUGGAAGCUUCUUUUGCAGAAGUAUUCUUGAGUAUAGAAGUAUCUCCAACUUUCUCUUCUCUCUUCAAUGUUGCAAACAAAAUAAACAUUUUUUUCCUAAUAUUUCCAAUAGAGUCACAGAUUAUGACAAACUUUGUUCUACUAUCAAAGUCAAUAUACUAUAUUAGUGUAAAAAAAAAACUUCACCAUUAGUACAUUAUUAAUGUGUACUAGUACUAAUGUUGCUGCCAGAAAUUAAAUUUUUAUUUUUUGGCAUAUUACGAUUUUUUAGGAUCUACUGAUGUUUUGUUUUACACUAUUAGACCAAUGUCUUUUUUAUUCAUGAAUGGAUUGAUAUUGAAUUAUGUCAUGAAGGUCACUUUGUUUUUUGUGGUAAUGAAUUGAGACUAAGAAUAAUUCUUGUAUUUGGCUUAACCAUAUCAUAAACAGAUAAUUUGCUUUGAUUAAGAGUAACUCACAUCAUAAACAUUGAUAAUAACAUAAUACCUCAAAUGAAAAGAAAGUAACAUUGAAUUAUAAUUCAUGUUUCUAAUUCAACAAAAUCCAUGACAAAGUUGAAUUAGAUGGUGUGAGGCUAUUUGAUCUUCAAUUUGUAUAUUCACAACAUUUUUAUCUAUAACUAUAAUUUGGCUUUUGACCUAUACUAAUUUGGCUUUUUAUCUAACUUUCAAAUUUGCUUAGUCAUUCCUUUUCUAACCUAUACUAAUUUGAUUUUUAUUAAAUGAUAACGAAUUAAGGAAAGAUAUAAAUUUGCACAUUGUAGUGUGAAAAAUCUAACUACUAUAGCAAGCAUCAUUAAAAUUUGAAUACCCACUAAAAUUUCAUAAAUCAUAUAUUAAUUUUUACAUGUACAAAAAAACUUCUAAUUUUUAUAUAUACAUACUAUGAGAAAUAAGUAUGAUUUUAAACAAAAAUUGAUAAUAAGUGUAAUUAAUUAAACAAAAUAUGAUAUAUAUUAUGGAAACAAAUACAAAUAGUAAAUGAGGCAAUACAUUUUUAUUAAAUAAUGAAAGUGUCGUCUACACAAUAUAUCAUAUAUUUUUAACUUAAUUAUAUUUAUCAUCUUUUUUUCUUUAAAAUAUUACACUUAAUUUUUUAUGGGGAUAAUCAAUGUAAUGUAUAUAUAAAAAAUCAUUGUUUUUUUGCAUGGUAAAAAAUGGAGGAGUUUUUGUAUAUAUCACUAAAAGUGGUGUUCUAUAAUAUACUCCUAAAAUUUAAUAUUUUAUUCUAUUUAGGCAUCGUGAUAAGAUUGGUACGCAAGCUGUCAAGUUUUGAUAAUAAACAACAAUGAAAAGAAGGUAAGCCGUCAAUUCAUAAUAACGAUCCAAGGAAUAUAAAUCAAUUCUAUUAAAAUGAAUCAUAUGCUCCUAUUUAUUAUUAGGAGAAAAUCAUAUAUGUGACAACAGUGUAAGAGUUUAUUACAUUGUUAUUGUAUUAUUUAUUAUUUAUAUUUUAAUUAUUAUUAAUAAGGGUGUUCAAAUUUAGACCGGUCCAAAAAUAAAAUCGAAAAUCGAUCUAAAGUAGACUGAAAUCGCAAAAGCCAAAUGUGUUUGGAUCUUGUUGGACUUAUUUUUUAAAGACGGAUUGGCUUGGUUUGAAUUUUGGUUUCACCUCUUGGAUCCAGAUCGAUCCAGACCGGACCAGAUUAAUAUGUAAAAUUUAAGUGUGUAAUACUUUUAAGUAUCUUCCAAACUUAAUCUUAAGUCUCAACUCCAAAAUUGUACCUAUAUUUAUUUGUUAUAUUCUAUAAUAUAUAUUGAUAUGUUUUAAAUCAUAUUGAUUUUGAAACCUUCAGACCAAAUUCGUUAUAUAAAACAUGAUUUACUUAACUUAAGGGUGUGUUUUUAGGGUUUAUAUAUUUGUAUAUAAUGUAUCAGUUACAUGAUGAGAAAAGGCGUGUGUGUUUUGCGAAUCCAGGUCUAUUUCUUUGCAAUGUUUUUGUUUUCAUUUUGAUUUGUGGUUGUGGAAUGAUGUGACUUAGCCAAAUCAGAUAUUGAUGUGCUCCAUUUAAUGUUGAAGCGCAUUUCUCUGUUGAUUCAAUUUGAGAUUGGUUUUCUUUUUUCCUGACCACAACCACCACAACAACAACAACCUUUUUUCUUUUACCAUUCUCUGCUUUUAACUUAAUCAUUUUCUGGAUUUUGGAUUUUGGAUUUUUUGUUAUUUACUCUGUCCUUUUUGUUAUUAACUUAACCAUGACCAAGUCUUAGGUUGUCCAUUAGUUGAGUUCGGUGGAACUAUGAGGUGAAGCUGUGAUAGUUCAUAAAAUGUUUGUUGUAAUACUAAGUUGUACCCACUUUGAAAUGCUUUAAUGUGUGUACUAAAAACAAACUUUUGCAGGUUUGUGGUAAAGAUUCUAUUAGGAGUUUCAUUGUGUUACCUAAGUCAUGAGUUCUCUCACCUAAUAGAUUAAUCUCUUGGGUUGGACUCUCCUUAUGAGCUUUAGAUCCUAACAAUUGGUGUCUUUCAUUGAGAGUUGUGUCACGGAAAAGACUAUAUAUAGGCUGGAUUAAGGUAUAUAACUGAAUAAUACUGAUAGGUGAGUGAAGCCGUCAAAAAGGGGAAAGGUAUGUCAUCAAGUCAGUGUCAAUGGACGUCGACGCCUAAAGGGGAUGACAAUGUUAUGUGUCUUACAUCGAGUAGAAUAGCAAACUCAAUGUGGUAUUUAAGUCAUGAGACUCUCAUCAUGUACUUGAAGUUCUAACAUAUUCAUGAGGUAAGUGAAAUUUGUGAGAAAUUGAAAUUGUUCUUUAUUGGCAUUGAGUUCUUUUCGGGUAAUCCAUACCCAACAUCAAAUAUUUGUUAGAUUGUUUGUUAAACUAGAUUGUGUUUUAUUGCUUGUGAUGAAUGCCUGUUUGUGAUGAAUGCCCAGAACAGGAAUGAGGUUCGAUUGUUAUUGGACAUGAGAAGAGUGAAGUCUCACUUACGUUGAACAAAAUAAGUAAGAUAUUAUAUCUUGAACCAAAUCUAAGACAAUGUUCUGCCAACAUUUUCAUUUGCAGGCUCUUUUACUUGUCUCGUUAUAGUCAAUGUGGAGUUUCACACUUGAAUAAACUCGACACUAACAUUGGCUGAAUCACAUGGCAUGAUGCCAAAGGUGCUUAUGUAUAAAAUGACAUUGUUGGAUUAUUACUUCACUUUUAUGUAUGGAUAUGAACCACUUGUAAAUAGAAAAAACUGAAAAUAGUAUGUGAAGAUUUAGUUUAUGAAUAUUAAGCUAAGGAUAAGAGGAGUGUUACUACUUACUUACUAGUGAUUCUAUUGAUUCAGCUUUGACUUAUGCUUCUAUUGUAACAAUGGCAACUUUAAAGUGAUGAUUCUGAAUAUAUGGAAGAAACUGUUUCAUCUUCUAGUUUCCCA
rnacentral:lncRNA from 1 species